AUGAACGCUAGCUACAGGCUUAACACAUGCAAGUCGAGGGGCAUCAGGGUGUAGCAAUACACCGCUGGCGACCGGCGCACGGGUGAGUAACACGUAUCCAACCUGCCCUUUACUCGGGGAUAGCCUUUCGAAAGAAAGAUUAAUACCCGAUGGUAUAACAUGACCUCCUGGUUUUGUUAUUAAAGAAUUUCGGUAGAGGAUGGGGAUGCGUUCCAUUAGGCAGUUGGCGGGGUAACGGCCCACCAAACCUUCGAUGGAUAGGGGUUCUGAGAGGAAGGUCCCCCACAUUGGAACUGAGACACGGUCCAAACUCCUACGGGAGGCAGCAGUGAGGAAUAUUGGUCAAUGGGCGAGAGCCUGAACCAGCCAAGUAGCGUGAAGGAUGACCGCCCUAUGGGUUGUAAACUUCUUUUAUAUGGGAAUAAAGGGUGCCACGUGUGGCAUUUUGUAUGUACCAUAUGAAUAAGGAUCGGCUAACUCCGUGCCAGCAGCCGCGGUAAUACGGAGGAUCCGAGCGUUAUCCGGAUUUAUUGGGUUUAAAGGGAGCGUAGGUGGACAUGUAAGUCAGUUGUGAAAGUUUGCGGCUCAACCGUAAAAUUGCAGUUGAUACUGCGUGUCUUGAGUACAGUAGAGGUGGGCGGAAUUCGUGGUGUAGCGGUGAAAUGCUUAGAUAUCACGAAGAACUCCGAUUGCGAAGGCAGCUCACUGGACUGCAACUGACACUGAUGCUCGAAAGUGUGGGUAUCAAACAGGAUUAGAUACCCUGGUAGUCCACACAGUAAACGAUGAAUACUCGCUGUUUGCGAUAUACAGUAAGCGGCCAAGCGAAAGCAUUAAGUAUUCCACCUGGGGAGUACGCCGGCAACGGUGAAACUCAAAGGAAUUGACGGGGGCCCGCACAAGCGGAGGAACAUGUGGUUUAAUUCGAUGAUACGCGAGGAACCUUACCCGGGCUUAAAUUGCAAAUGAAUAUGCCGGAAACGGCAUAGCCGCAAGGCAUUUGUGAAGGUGCUGCAUGGUUGUCGUCAGCUCGUGCCGUGAGGUGUCGGCUUAAGUGCCAUAACGAGCGCAACCCUUAUCUUCAGUUACUAACAGGUCAUGCUGAGGACUCUGGAGAGACUGCCGUUGUAAGAUGUGAGGAAGGUGGGGAUGACGUCAAAUCAGCACGGCCCUUACGUCCGGGGCUACACACGUGUUACAAUGGGGGGUACAGAAGGCCGCUACACAGCGAUGUGAUGCCAAUCCCUAAAGCCCCUCUCAGUUCGGAUCGAAGUCUGCAACCCGACUUCGUGAAGCUGGAUUCGCUAGUAAUCGCGCAUCAGCCACGGCGCGGUGAAUACGUUCCCGGGCCUUGUACACACCGCCCGUCAAGCCAUGGGAGCCGGGGGUACCUGAAGUACGUAACCGCAAGGAGCGUCCUAGGGUAAAACUGGUGACUGGGGCU
rnacentral:rRNA from 1 species